rnacentral:rRNA from 1 species
AUAUUGGUCAAUAGCCUAACGGCUGAACCAGCAACUUGGAGGAAUGCACAGCGAAAGCUGGUUAUACUUAAAGAGUGUAACAUCGACUAUGUCGACUAAAGUUCUAGAUAAAAUUAUGAUAAUGACAUUGUUUAUCUAUAUGUCUUGACCAAAUCAUGUGCCAGCAGUCGCGGUAAUACAUGGAAGACUAGUGUUAUUCAUCUUUAAUAGGUUUAAAGGGUACUUAGACGGUUUAUCAAGCCCCCAAGGGGUACUAAUAAACUAGAGUUUUAUGUGAGGAGGGAAGUAUAAGAGAGUGUAGAGAUGGAAUUCGUUGAUACCUACUUACAACAGACACGGGCGAAGGCGACCUCUUAUGUACAAACUGACGUUGAAGGACGAAGGCUUAGGACACGAUAAGGAUUAGAUACCCUAAUAGUCUUUGCAGACAAUGAUGAAUGUCAUAGACUAGAAUAAAAUAUUUUUCUAUAUCUCAUAGGAAAAUUACAAUUUUGUCUAUAAAUGAAAGUGUAAGCAUUCCACCUCAAGAGUAAUGUGGCAACGCAGGAACUGAAAUCAUUAGACCGUUUCUGAAACCAGUAGUGAAGUAUGUUGUUUAAUUUGAUGAUCCGCAAAACACCUUACCACAAUUUGAAUAUUUAUACAUCUGUAUAAUUACAAGCGUUGCACGGCUGUCUACAGUUAAUGUCGUGAGACUUUGGUUAGUUCCAUAAAAUCAACGUAAACCCUUGCUUUAUUUCUUGCGAUAGAGUAGUUCACCGCUAUAUUGGAUAUGAUAAAAGGGACUAAGACAAGUCAAUAUGGCCUUAAUAUUGUGGGCUAUA